AGGAAACGUAUGAUUGGUUGGAUCAGUACGUGUGAUUCAACCCGAGUAUGCAUGAAAAGGAAUUAAUGCCUUAUGUGUCAUGGUCAUAACAAAGAAAUGAGGCCUGAUGGAUAAUUUACGAAAAACUCCUGUAAGCGUGGGAGUCCAAUGAUCCACACAGAAAUGUUAGCUGGUUUCAUGCCCUUGAUGUAAUAAGUGAUACCUUAAAAUAGCAAUGAAAAUGGUCUGUCUAUUUAAACUAGCAACUAUU